rnacentral:misc_RNA from 1 species
AAGUCGUAACAAGGUUUCCGUAGGUGAACCUGCGGAAGGAUCAUUAAUAUCAAAACGUUUUUCACAACGUUAACCCAACAUGUUGAACUGUAUCGGAAACGUUGGUGGUUUUUUGGCUAAGUUUCCCUAACGUUUCUUUGUUUUAUCUCAAAAUUUAGCUAAUUUAUUUUAACCCAAUUUCACCUCUAUAUUCAUUUGUAUGAACUUAUCAUUUUUUGAUCCGAAAGGAUUGAAGAAAAUCAUACGAAACUUUAAGAACAACUCUUAACAACGGAUAUCUUGGCUCUC